CUCAGGAGUCCCGGGUUCAAUGAGCCGUUCACAGGAAAUCUACAUUCCAUGGUCACAUUAUUCCCAUACUCUGCAACAUACAGCUGCUGAGGAACUUCAACUGUGAAUAAAGCUAAGAAAGUGAAAAUCCAGUUUAAUGCCUGUGAAACACAUGUGUUGGCACUAAAUAAGUAUGUGCAACUGGCAAGAAUUGCUGUGCAGCAGCUGCAAUCUUCCGCAUGUGUGGACCAUUCAUGCCUGUAAUUCAGGACACCUCUGCUGUCAACCCACAAUGCUUUCAAGAAGAACAUUGGUGGAAAGUGAUGGACACCUGUCCUUAUGCUCAGUGCUUAGACAAUGCCUUCUGUAAGACAUUUCAGGGCAGAGGCUCCAGACAUCACCAGCUGUUUGGGGAAGUAAGUACUCAUUGUGAGAUGUUUCAAACCACAUCUAUGAACAUAGCAGUAUUGUUACAUUUGUCCUAAUGAUGAGAGUGAAACACAGUUCACUUCCUCUCACCUGAAACCACACAGAGCUGCAUUUCCAGCAACAGCAUUGUCACGA